rnacentral:lncRNA from 1 species
GAAUCUCUAUUACUACUACUGUGCAUCUAACAUUGAGCUAAUAUCAGAUUAACAGGAGCCUUAUGUCAUUUCUUCAAAUAUCAAAUACACGUUGACAUGAUUCAGUCCUUCACACAUCAAUUGGAGCUGAAAAAAUACUUGGAAAUCAUAGAGCAAUAAUAAGAAGAAGAGAUCAGCAGCAACCCAGGAAUAAGUUCAAAAUCCAGUAAUAAAUCAGUUCACGCAGCAAAUUCAGGAACAAGUUUAAAAAUCCAGUGAUAGAUCAAACACAGCAACAAUUUCCACCACUGAAGCACCCCAAAACCAGCUUGAAUACACUUGCAACAAUUUGAAAUUUAACCCAGAAAUUACAGAACACCUUCAGCGAUCAAAAUCAACCAACAACAACUUGAAUAAACCCCAAACGACUCUGUAUGCUGUAACUCUCGACUAUAAAACAUAAAUAAAGAUUCAAGCUAUUUUUGACCCUAAAUGAGCUAAAGAGCUGAAUUACUUGCUGAAAACUUGAAAAUGAUCUAAGGAAAAGCAAUGAAACAGUAUUUGUUUUUUUGGAUUUUCUGUUAUACUUGUU